UACAUUAUACAUACAUAUAAUUAAAUAGUUCCUCACAGUUCUCAGAAUUCACAAAACGUAGCGCGGGAGGAAAUGCGAAAUAAAACGCUAUAUAUGAAACUUACAAUUAAAACAUUAAAAAAAGUAGGUACUAACCUACCUAACUUAUACCUAAUUAGGUAUUAUAUAUGAGUGAUCGAGUUCAUUCCGUUCUUUGAUUGUAUCAAAGUCAGUCAAUCGUUUUAUUAUAUCUAGGUAAAGCAGUUGAGCCAGGUUCCGCGGAUUAUUACUGACGAGGAUUCAGUAUGGGUCAGAAUACGCCGGCUGGAGUGGAGACUUUACACUGUCAUCUCUGUCCUUUUGCUGCUUGGUAAAUUGUCGAGUUGCUGGAACUGGUCGAAUAUUGCUUAUAAUGUUACGAAUUCGUACAAUGAAGUCGGUGGAGUCCGUAAAAAAUCCUCAGGAACGUCCUGCCAGGUGUUGAAGAUGGCGAAGGAACUGAGAAGGUCGACGAUCGCCUAACUCCUCAUGCAUAAGGAGCUGCUUAACCUGUUUUUCCUUCGAUGCUGAUAGUCUCCUAAUUAACUCCGACUUCAAUUUCUCGUAUUUGCCUUCCGAUGGUGGUGCAACAAUGUUAUCCUUCACUUCAGCAGCAUACCGUGGUUCCAGCUGCGCAGUGACAUAAUAAUAUUUUGUUUCAUCAUCCUUGAUGCCAGAUAGUACGAAGUUUCUUUCUAUUUGCGCAAACCAUAUGGCCGGUUCCUCUGCCCAGAAUGGUGGUAAUCGUACCCCCACUCGGUGAAUAUCGGAUGGUGUAAACGCACCUUUUUCUUUUGUUGCACUAUCUUGUUGAUCGGUUGUCCUGGAGUUUGCCAUUUUUUAUUUAAAUAAUAUUUCACUGCAUUACUUGGUUAUAUUCAGUGGUUGUAGCCGAAUCGUGUUCAUGAGGGGUCACCAGUAUAGAUAUUAUAUGUGGGCACGCCACAACUUUUUAAAAAUCGAGGUAAUGAAUGUCAGCAAAGGAAUUAUAAACAUUUGAAUGCUCAAAAUUUUGUCAAAUCUCUAUACGACCUGCUUCCCCCUUAGGUCCCAAGACCUGUAAAUAUGCAAUUAACAUUAGUUUUUUCCCCAUUUAUAAUUAUAUUGGCAAAAUUUACACAAAAUAAUAAUAUCUACUUAUAUUUUUUCUUUACUUUCCCCUUUAUCUGUAUGUAUGUAUAAUAUAUUUAUAUACUUUUAUAUUUUAGGUUACACACUGAACCGUGUUUCAUAUAUCAUUAUAACAUAUUAUAUACCGUGUCAAUCUCAACCUUGACGUUGGCAAAAUCAUCGUUUUGGCGAACGAAAUUACAACAACCUACGAUUUGAAGAGACAGUUGCAGAAUCGUAAACAGAGAUCGAGAAAAGAAAUUUAUGAAGAUAAUAGCCAAUUUAGAGGACGAACUGCAAAUUGCGAGACAAAGCUUACAAUAUUUACAAAAUGGCGGAUUGAAACAAAAUCGGUGUCGGUGACAGUUAAUUGAAAAGUCACCACUGUUCAAUAAAAAUAAAGACUAUCCGGUCGAGUGAUACUUGAUAUUAAAUGAUAUUUGUGAUUUAAAAUUUAAAGUCUGUUAUGUAAUUAUAAAUUAAAUGAUUAAGUUAUGAAAUAUUUUUAUUGGA